AUACCUUCUGGUGGAUCUACUAAGGUCCAGACUUGGUUGGAAUACAUGGAGUCUAUCUUUGACUUCAUGGCUUCCAGCCAUUUCUCGGAAUCGAUAUCUGAUAUCGCCUCGUUGUAGGUCUUGGGAUCCUGUACAUGUUCCCUAUCUCCCAUGAGGAACAUUUCCUCGGUCUCCUCUACUGGUAUACCUAAGUAUCUAUCGGGAGGAUGGGAGACCCUACUAGAUCUACGAGGUGGAGGAGGUACUACGUGUACUGGCUCUGUAUGAAUAGGUUCUAUAGGAUCCAUGACUCGUUGCUUUUCAGAGACUCUCUCUUCAAGCUCAAUUUUCCUCCCUCUGCCUCUAUCAAACACA
rnacentral:lncRNA from 1 species